UGGGGAUGGAUCUGUGGAGUUCUCUUUUCUUUGUGGUUCUUCCUCUAAGCCUUGGUCUUUUGAUUCAGAAUUAAUCUCAAAGCUAAACUUGAUGCUAAGAAAUGAGACUACUGGAGUGCCUUGUGGAGAUGAGUUUCAUUGCAUUUGUGCAACCCCUGCAGUCUGCAAUUCAUGCUCUUCUACUCAUACAAAGUGCCUGGGUUUUCAGGUGGGUCAAAAACCAGGGGAGACUGGUUAUCAUGGCUGGUGACCGUGGUCCCAAAUUUCCUGCGCUCUUUAGAUCUGAAGAACUGACUGCACUGAAGUGAAAUUCCAGACCUUCCGAGAUCUGGAAAACCAGAGGGGAAAAUAUUUAAACAAAGCCACCCUAACUCUGCAAGGCAGCAACAAAACAAAAUGAUAUGUUUGAUAACAGUGCCAAGCUCGGGAACAAGUCGUAUGGAUGUAGUCACAUUUAUUACACAGACAGAAGGACCCCAUCUUGGACGUGAGUUCUGAGUAGCAAGAGGACAAAUCCAGAAGGGGAUAUCACAAGGACGUCUCUAUCUUGCUGUAAAUUCACAAGCAGACUACAGCUGAAAACUCUAUCCAGACAGGCACUUUCAUCGGGUGCCUGACUUGCAACCAUGUUUCUUCAGAGUAACAUCUGUUAUUUAUUUUCCUGGUGCUCAAUUGAAAAGCCUCCUGUCACUAACUUGUUACAUUCCUGCCUCACGCGUGUCCGUGCUGGUGUUUGUAAUUGUCCGGUUUCUCAAAUGAACCCUAUCUAUUUAAA